rnacentral:lncRNA from 1 species
UUUUUUUUUUUUUUGCUUUUUAGGGCCACACCCACAGCAUAUGGAAGUUCCCAGGCUAGGGGUUGAAUCAGAGCUGUAGUGGCUCGCCUAUGCCACAGCCAUAGCCACGCCAGAUCUGAACUGCAUCUGUGAUCUUUUACCACGGCUCACAGCAACACGGAUCCUUAACCCACUGAGCGAGGCCAGGGAUGGAACCCGCAACCUCAUGGUUCCUAGUUGGAUUUGUUUCCACUGAGCCACGACAGGAACUCCUCCAUCAUUUAUUUUCAGCAGGGGAGGAGUUCACCUGAUGAUAGCGCCCCUGCGGAGCGAGGAAUGCAUUUAGAUCAGCCAUGGAAAGCGAUGGCACACACCAGGCUCUGAUCUGCUAGAAGGCUCCAGAACUUUCUCUCUCAGUUGCCUACCUGGGAGGUCCAGAAAGUGGCUUUCCAGGUUUAGUCAGAGUACCAGGUACAUCAUAACCUCUUGGGAGCUUGUUAAAAAUGCACAUCCCUGGGAGUUCCCAUUGUGGCACAGUGUAAUGAACCUGGCUAGUACCCAUGAGGUUGCUGGUUCGAUCCCUGGCCUCGCUCAUGCGGACAUGAGUGUGUGUGUGUGUGUGUGUGUGUGUGUGUCUCCAGGCUCACAGGGAUCUUUGGGUAAUUCUGCUUGUUCUGUAGUUGCUGGCCGGCACACAUGGCCUGCUUGGCUGACUCGGCCUCUAUUACUGCUCCAGAGCAUUUAGUGGUCACUGCCCCCCCCAGCUCCAGAAGCAGCCUCUUCCAGGCUCUGGGCCUUUUGUCUUCCCUCCCCAAAGCCACUUUUACCUGCUCCAGAGCCUGGAGGCAUGACAGGUGCUUCCCAGAACAACAAAAGCCUCUCCUGAGAGAACGGACAUCCUCGAAGGCUCCUGCUACAUCCUUGGUCUGGGCACUGAUUUCAAGCUGGGUUUCAGGGCCCCAGUUGCUGGGUAUGAAUUACAGCAAGCCGGCUUUGGGGCACACUGUCAGCAAACGGGCGCUGCUGGCCCCUCCUUCACUCCCAGAGGUCAGUCACACCCCCUCUCUCUAGCAUUUUGGGAGGAAACAGAGGCGCAGCACAGAGGACCUGAUUUGGUCAAGGUCACCCUACCUCGGGUCUCCUGGGUGUGUUUCAGGCAAGGACACGGUCUCCUUGGGCUCCAACGCUGUGUGACAUUGGGCCAGUUAUUUAGCCUGCCUGAGCCUGAUUUCCUCUCGGAUAAAGGUAGUGCCCAGGAAAUAAGGCGCAUAGAGCACCCAGCACGCGGCCUGGCACUGCUCAACACCGAGCCAUCAUCAAAGGAUUCGUCUGCUCCAGCCACUCUGGCCUUCAUGCCCCGCUGCCCCCAACACCCCCAGGCACUGGCUUGUUGCCUCACGUUCUGAGUCUUGACUGAAAAAUCACCUUCUCAGCAACCCUCCUAGCCGUCUGCUUCAGGCCCGUCCCCGCUUUUGUCCUCACUCAUCCGACAUGCUGCACAUUCUACUGAUUCACUCGCGGGCCUCUCUUGGCCAGGAGCACAAGCCCUACGGGCUCAGGGCUUUUGCAGCCCUCUCCACCCCGGGUGGCCCCGGGAGUGAAUGAAGGGUUCCUAUCGCGUCUCCCCGGCCGCAGCCACGCUGAAAGCUUGGCCCAGGAGACGAGUGGUACCCGGGGGCCGACAGGCCUGGCUGGAGCAAGCAGAGCAGGGGGCGCUGGGGCUGCCGGCGGGACCCGGAGCUCUGGGAGGCGGCGCCGGGGACAAAGGGCGGCCCUACCUGCUCGAGGGGUGCGGGCUCCUCCCCCAGGGCGGC